UACGGAGGGUGCGAGCGUUAAUCGGAAUUACUGGGCGUAAAGCGCAUGCAGGUGGUUCAUUAAGUCAGAUGUGAAAGCCCGGGGCUCAACCUCGGAACUGCAUUUGAAACUGGUGAACUAGAGUACUGUAGAGGGGGGGGUAGAAUUUCAGGUGUAGCGGUGAAAAUGCGUAGAGAUCUGAAGGAAUACCAGUGGCGAAGGCGGCCCCCUGGACAGAUACUGACACUCAGAUGCGAAAAGCGUGGGGGAGCAAAACAGGAUUAGAUACCCGGAGUC
rnacentral:rRNA from 1 species